CUUCUACCCUCCCACCCGCCCCGUUUCCCCUUCCACCAAGCCCGGGGCAGCAAGCCCGAGCCGUCGGUGAUGCUCCCCGACCCUUCCCCGCACUGCCCCCGCGGCCGGGCGGCAGGGCCGCGGCAGAGCUACUCACUGUCUUCUUCUCCUUGCCCGUGGCUUGGGGUCAUACGGGGCCGAUCCGACUCCUGGAGCUCCAAAUCCAGACCCCAGCAGAAACUUCCUACUGCCCUCCGUCCACUCCUUCGCCCUCCCCUUAUAUACCGACGCUGCCGCUGGGAGAGCUCCCAUCCCUCCCUCCAUCCCUCCUGCUCCCCCCUCCCUGGCACUCCUCCACCGCCGCUUCCACGCUCGCAGGAGCCACGUUGGUUGGAAAAAAAAAGCAGCAGCAAAGGGAAGGGAAAGGGAAAAAAAAAGCUCCUGGAGGAUCAUCCACAACCACUCUGCAAUUUGGGAGGUGUAAUUACUGCCAGCCAAGCAGCCACACUCACCAGGGCUGCCAGGCCUUGGGAGGGGGCCACUGGCAGCCGCUGGGGAGAGAGAGCAAUGUGGCACCCAGGUUGGCCCCCCCAGUUUUUGAAGGGUGGGGUCUGGAAAGGGCUGGAAGGUAGGA